GUGGUGGCUCAGUGGUAGAGCGCUUGCCUAGCAUGUGUGAGACACUGGGUUUGAUUCUCAGCACCACA
rnacentral:tRNA from 1 species